CAAGAUUUAAAAAAUUCCCUGUGUAUUACCUUUGACUACCGCUUUGGAUAGAUACAAAUUAAUAUAUUUUUAUUUUUUUUAUAUGUAUUUAUGAGUCUGGACUGACAUCCAUAUUUUUUAUUCUUCCUCCAUAGCUCAACGCAUCCAGUCUGUACCUUACAGAUGCAGCAAAUGUUGCAUUUUUUCCCCUUGAAAAUGGAAGUUUUAGCUCCAUUGACCUACAUAACCAUGAGCACUAUGAAGUCCAUGGCGAAGCAGGGGAGACUACGGAAACAGUACCAUACCACACUACCUCCCCUAGCACAUCUCGCCCAUUUUCUUUUCGUAGUGGCACGCCACCCACGGCAAACUUGAUCACAGUGGCGAGAUCAGCUUCCACACAAAGGGCUCUCCAUGUGUCUGAGGCGAAGGAGGGAAAGCUUGUUUCAACACGUGUGGUCAUGGUGCGUUUCACUGAGUCAGAGGCAACUGUGUCCAUCAUAUUGUCAAAAUUAAAAGUUGCCAUGGCAGAUGAGGAGGACUACACCCUCACUGACACCCUCGGGAAUGAAAUUGUUGAGUCUGAAGGGACAACUGGGUCUGUGUACUGGACACAAAAUGCCAGAAAAGUUUUGGCCGUCAAGAGAUCGACUUUUCGAGAAUUGCACCGGCGCCGUUCAAGCAACAGAAAUGAAGAAGUGAAAAUACUUUGUGAACAUGUGGAGGAACUGCUGGAGGCAUCUCAAGGGCUAGAAGAGGUUACCAG